rfam:Aspergillus aculeatus ATCC 16872 unplaced genomic scaffold ASPACscaffold_8, whole genome shotgun sequence.
GGGUCGGUAGCUCAGUGGUAUGAGCAAGAGAUUGCAGAUCUCGAGGUCGCGUGUUCGAUCCACGCUCGGCCCU